AUGGAGAACCUUCCCAAGCGUCCGGCUAACUACGUGCCACUUAGCCCGGUUGGGUUCCUGCCGCGCGCCGGUGCAGUAUACGGUGACCGCACGUCCGUCGUCUACCGGCGUCUCCGCUUCACGUGGAGCCAGACGUACGUGCGCUGCCGCCGCCUUGCCGCCGCCCUCCUCUCCCUCGGCGUCCGCAAGAACGACGUCGUCUCCGUCCUCGCCCCCAACGUGCCGGCGAUGUAUGAGAUGCACUUCGCCGUGCCCAUGGCUGCUGCCGUGCUCAACACCGUCAACACGCGCCUGGACGCCAAGGCGGUGGCGGCCAUCCUGAGGCACUCCCAGGCCAAGGUCUUGUUCGUCGACUAUGACUACGUGCGCCUCGCCAACGACGCGCUACAGGUCGUCGCGGAUGCCGGCGCGCCCGUCCCGCUGGUCGCCGUCAUCGACGAUAUUGACAGGCCCACUGGCGUCCGACUCGGCGUCGGUGAGCUCGAGUAUGAGGCGCUGGUCAGCGGCGGCGACCCGGCCGCGGAGCUGCCCUCGUUCGCGGACGAGUGGGACGCGGUCACGCUCAACUACACCUCCGGCACCACGUCGGCGCCCAAGGGCGUGGUGACGCACUCGUACGGACUCACGGAGGCCACCGGCCCCGCUCUGGCCUGCGAGUGGCGCCACGAGUGGGACCUCCUGCCGCUCCCGGAGCGCUCACGCCUCAAGGCCAGGCAGGGGGCCAGUGUCCUGUCUCUCGCCGACGCCAACGUCGUCGACAGCAACACCAUGGCUAGUGUGCCGCGCGACGGCAAGUCCAUGGGUGAGAUCGCGCUCCGCGGCAGCAGCAUCAUGAAGGGGUACCUCGACAACCCGGAGGCGAACGAUAAGGCCUUCAAGGGCGGGUGGUUCAUGACGGGCGACGUCGGCGUCGUGCACCCGGACGGGUACAUCGAGGUAAAGGACAGGUCAAAGGACGUGAUCAUCAGCGGCGGCGAGAACAUCUACAGCAAGGAGGUGGAGGAGGUGCUGCUCCAGCACCAGGCUGUGGCGGACGCGGCGGUCGUUGCCAUGCCUCAUCCACACUGGGGCGAGACACCGUGCGCGUUUCUCGUGACCAGCAACAAGGCUACCGGGGUCUGCGAGGACGAAGUGAUCGCCUUCUGCCGCAAGCGCAUGGCGCGCUUCAUGGCACCCAGCAAGGUGGUGGUCGUCGACGCCCUCCCGAGGAACGCGCUAGGUAAGGUUGACAAGGUGAAACUACGCGCUGCGGUCCGGAGUUUUGUGCUCCCCAGGGCCACGUCUAGGCUAUAG
rnacentral:rRNA from 1 species